rnacentral:rRNA from 1 species
UACGGAGGGUGCAAGCAUUAAUCGGAUUUAUUGGGCGUAAAGGGCGCGUAGGCGGAGAUAAUAGUCAGAUGUGAAAUCCUGGGGCUCAACCUCAGAACUGCAUUUGAAACUGUAUCUCUAGAGGGUAGGCGGAGAAAACGGAAUUCCACAAGUAGCGGUGAAAUGCGUAGAUAUGUGGAAGAACACCGGUGGCGAAGGCGGUUUUCUAGCUUACUCCUGACGCUGAGGCGCGAAAGCAAGGGGAUCAAACAGG